rnacentral:rRNA from 1 species
GACGAACGCUGGCGGCGUGCUUAACACAUGCAAGUCGAACGAGGCCCCGUCUUCGGGCGGGGUUCUAGUGGCGAACGGGUGAGUAACACGUGGGCAACCUGCCCCCGGCUCUGGGAUAACUCCAAGAAAUUGGGGCUAAUACCGGAUAUGACCGCUGGCCGCAUGGUCUGGUGGUGGAAAGUUUUUUCGGCUGGGGAUGGGCCCGCGGCCUAUCAGCUUGUUGGUGGGGUAGUGGCCUACCAAGGCGACGACGGGUAGCCGGCCUGAGAGGGUGACCGGCCACACUGGGACUGAGGCACGGCCCAGACUCCUACGGGAGGCAGCAGUGGGGAAUAUUGCGCAAUGGGCGGAAGCCUGACGCAGCGACGCCGCGUGGGGGAUGACGGCCUUCGGGUUGUAAACCUCUUUCAGCAGGGACGAAGCGCAAGUGACGGUACCUGCAGAAGAAGCACCGGCCAACUACGUGCCAGCAGCCGCCGUAAUAC